CUCCUGAAAAACCCAAAAUUGUCAGCAGCAAUCUGGAGGGCUGAGCAAACUGUCAAAUGACAUCUAUGGGGUUUUCAGAGAAAAAGAUUCAUAUACUCUACUUAGUCUGCCCAAAUUUUCAGGGUGAUUUUUUUUCUACCAAGCAUGUUCUGUAUCAAUAUUUCCUCCUCACUCAGAAAUGUGCUUGAUGGAGAUCAGUUUGUGGUGGAAGACGUAGAUACUUGGUUCCAGCACCAUGACUCCCUCCCCUGCAGAUGUGCUGGUGCUGGUUUGGGAUUCUCCCCUCCUCUUGCCUCCCACAGCCCAGACUGUGCCCCUCCACUGCCAGCCUUUCUUUGUGUGAACAAGUAGAUCUGAGGUCAUGUUUUUCUCUGUCCACAGCUCUGUACAGCACUGGACUAUCUCCUGAGAGUUUGGCAGCUCUAGGAAAGUUGGUCUGCUGAGGACAGUGCGGCAGCAAGGCUGAGUCCUGUUGAAGCGUUGUGGGUGCCUCAGAGAAGUCCAUCAAUGUGCUUACUGCCAGAACUGACUGAGUCUCCUACAGGCGUUUCAGCUUGAAUGUGUUAUGGGUUGUGCUGUUGGAAAACGUGGUGUGUGGCAGUUUUGGGCUUUUCCCUGAUACGGAUGCCACUGGAAGUCCUGCCUACCACCAUUUUCCAGCUACCAAAGCAUCACCAGGGCUCAGAGUGCUGUCACCAGUCGUGGUCCACCAGUGGGAAACGCAUGGGAAGGGGUGAGAGAAUCAGCAUGAGGUCCUGCCCGCCUGAUAUCAUGGCUGGAGCACUUGCUGCUGCCCCUUGCACUUCCUUGGCAUCCACCUGGGGAGCUGAGAGAAGAGGAUUGAUUCAGCUGCAGCCACGUCUCUUUUGA
rnacentral:lncRNA from 13 species